rnacentral:rRNA from 1 species
ACGAACGCUGGCGGCGUGCUUAACACCUGCAAGUCGAACGAUGACGACCGAGCUUGCUCGGUCUGAUUAGUGGCGAACGGGUGAGUAACACGUGAGCAACCUGCCCUUCACUCUGGGAUAACCUCGGGAAAUCGGGGCUAAUACCGGAUAUGAGCUCCUGUCGCAUGGCGGGUGUUGGAAAGUUUUUCGGUGAAGGAUGGGCUCGCGGCCUAUCAGUUUGUUGGUGAGGUAGUGGCUCACCAAGGCGAUGACGGGUAGCCGGCCUGAGAGGGCGACCGGCCACGCUGGGACUGAGACACGGCCCAGACUCCUACGGGAGGCAGCAGUGGGGAAUAUUGCACAAUGGGCGAAAGCCUGAUGCAGCGACGCCGCGUGAGGGAUGACGGCCUUCGGGUUGUAAACCUCUUUCAGCAGGGAAGAAGCGAAAGUGACGGUACCUGCAGAAGAAGCGCCGGCUAACUACGUG